rnacentral:lncRNA from 1 species
AGGCAUCUUAACUAUGACAGAAAGGUCGACAUGAAGAUGCCCAAGCUGCGUAAGGAUGUCUAGGACUGCAGAAAUGCACAAUGAAUCCCCUACUUUAAAAAUGCUCGGUGAAGAGGAGACCACUGGGGAGUAAAAUGCAGUGUGAUGUGAGCAGCAGUGGAGAUGGGCGUGGACCGGCAGAGGAAGGAGUGAAGGAUUCACAUCUCAUAGGCUGCGGAGGCUUCCAGAAAUACCACCUGUUCCAGGUAUUCCAUACAACAGAUCCAGGUCAGAGUCUGUCACAAGGAAGCUGUUGGCCAGCCUGCCAAGGAGGAGGAAACACGAAGCUCUCGGUCCACCUGCGUUCUCUGUGAGGGAGCCUCCUACGGCACUGUUAUCUGUGGCACAGAUGGCAUUUUCAAACACAAAGUCACCACACUGUCUGAUCUUUGCCAAUACAAGGUUGCCAACAAGAUGUCAAGAGAGAAGGAAAAUCUACAAUGAAACUGUGAAGGAAAAAAAAAACCCUAAGAUGUUAUAAAAGUACAUUGUAACUGCAGUGGGAGUGGAAUUGACCGAGUGCAAACGCAGGGUGACCUCUGCAAGCUCGCAGCGCCAACGCGGGAACCCCAGCAUGGUCUGGCUGCAGAGUCUGUCUGAUUGUCCAA